GAUAGAAUGCCCGGAAAGUGUUUGAUAAAAUGCGUAUAAUAGAUUACCCCGGAAAGGUGUUCGAUAAUAUGAUAGAUUGUCGGAAUAAAAUGCGUAUAAUAGAUUGACCGGAAAAGUAUUUGAUAAAAUGCAUAUGAUAGAUUACUCCGGAAAGGUGUUUGAUAAAAUGUCUUCUGAUAGAUUGCCGUAAAAAUGCCUUGUGAUAGAUUGCACGGAAAAGUGUUUGAUAAAAUGCGUAUGAAAGAUUACUCCAGAAAGGUGUUUGAUUGCCGUAAAAAUGCCUUGUGAUAGAUUGCACGGAAAAGUGUUUGAUAAAAUGCGUAGGAUAGAUUACUCCGGAAAGGUGUUUGAUAAAAUGUCUUGCGAUAGAGAUAUAAAGAUAAAAUGUGUAUAAUAGAAUGUGUUUGAUAAAAUGCGAAUAAAAGAUUACCUCGGGAAAGGUGUUUGAGAAAAUGUUGCAGGAAAGAUAUAUAUACUUUGAUAAAAUGUGUAUAUGAUAGAUUGGUGGAGAAGUGUUUGACAAAAACGCGUAAAAUAGAUUACCUCGGAAAGGUGUUUGAUAAAAUAUCUUAUGAUAGAUUGUCGGAAAGUGUUAAAAUGUGUGUAAAGAUAGCAGUAAAUGUGUGUAUUUUUCUUUCUCUCUGUUAGACUUCCUCCCUCCGACUCUCUUUGUACAACGCGCUCUCUUCUCUUUCUCUCUUUGUUUCGAUUUGGGA
rnacentral:lncRNA from 1 species